rnacentral:misc_RNA from 1 species
GUUGCCUUGGAAAUUUAAAAAAAAUUAGCAAAAAAAAAGUAAUUUCAUUGAGAAUAACAACAGGGAAUGGACACAUGAAAGAAUUUGAUUAAAUUAGCUGCAACUACUCAAAGACAAUGGCAAGUAAAAUAUGGAAGAAAACAUUAAGUAUUAUGCUAGUAGUUUAGCAAGUUCAUCUACUCCUAGGCUUCCCUGCGGUGCAGAAUCCAGAUAUUGUUCACUAGAAUCUUUCCUCCUUUUGAGUUUAAAACUUCUUUUCUCCCUUACUUCUGUCUGAGCAACAGUUGUAACUUCUUUAACUUGCAAAUCCCCAAUUUCUUGCUUCUCGCACUGUUGAAUUGAUACCUUCCGUGGCCGAUGUCUAAAAUCUGGACUAGGUGGAGCAGACCUGGCAAAGUCAACCGCUGUUUGAUAAACAGUAUCAGCAUCCAAAUUUGCAUCAACCAAAACAACUGCACUCCCACUCUCAACAGCUUGUUUCCACAACUGUAGAACUCCAGUUGCAUAAGGUACACUCAACUUUGUUGGCUCAUUAAGUUCAGGCGAGCCUUCUAAGGCAUCUUGGACUUCCUCUGUGCUCCCGACAUUUUCUAGCAUGGUGUCAGAUCCCACUGAUGGAGCAACAGACAUUUCAAUAGCAUAGCCCAUAGCUUCAGACUCAUUAAUAGCAAAACUGCCUGCAUUAUCUGAUGUGGGAUUAUUUUCACACAUUUCUCUUGUGGUUGAACUAGUGCCCAUUGCUGCACAUGGAACAUUUAAUUGUACUGCAGAUAGAUCCUCUGUUUGCUCUUCACAUCCCACAGGAGUUGCGCCCGUAUUUGGCACACUAAGAACACCUUUGACAGAUACCAUUUCAAUUUUUUGGUCCUCCACAGAUGGAACAAUAGAUGCACUAUCAGCAUCGGACCCCUUGGCUUCUUUGCUAUCAUUUACUGGUUUUGUGAAGGAGGACUUCCAAUCCCUUCCCCUCCACAUAAGUAUGUGCUCAUGUUCAAAUGAGAUUAGCACACAUGGUACAAGUUCCUGCAAUCCAAAGAAUUGGGUUAACUGUUUACAAUAAUUUUGUAACAAUCAACUAAAGAAACGAAAGCAUUAUUAACCAACCAUACAAAUUUCACAGACCUUGAGUUUGGCACCAACUUUCCGGUAGUCACUUCCAUUAAUUCCUUGACAAUUUAUUCUGACCAAUUCACAUUCUUCAAAUGCCUCCUGGACAUCUUUUACUAGAUUACAGUACACACCAUUCUUUGCUAGUUUGCAUAUUGGUAUUAGUUUCCGCCCCUUCUUGCGCAUUUCACUUGCUUCUUCCAGUGUUAGACCCUUUGGAACCCGUUGAAUCAACCUCGGGUACACAGGGGUAAUAGGUUUCCACAGCAUAAGAGGAAAGCGAGGACGAGUUUUGUGGUUGUAGUUUCUGCCUCGGAAAAGGUACACCACCCCUGCUUUCCUGUAAAUAAUCUUUCCUCCAGUUCUUUCCUCUAAUUGCUGGCAAACGUUGUCCAUAUCAACUGUACACACUCCUUUGCAUUUGAUCUUGCACACUCUCCGCCGCUUCCAAUGGGCAUGAAUAUUAUCCAACAUGUUGUGAGUCAGGCCAUCUCUACCCAUAUUCAACUGGCGCUUCGAUUUCAAGCACCCAUCGAUCAAAGCCUUAACUUCCUCUCGCGUCAACGGCUCACCCAGUAUCUCCUCCCUCGUAUACACAUACCUCGGACCUGAUCCAGGCAGAAAGGGGCCAGGUGACUGAACUGGCUUCACACCUUUCUUAUCCGGCGGGGGCAACUUAAAGGAGUCAAACUCCCUCAACUUCUUCUUACUCGGGGGCAGCGGUGCCCGCCCAGUCCAAGGCCGGGCCGUUGUGGUGGGGCCAAACGGCGAGAAAGGCUGCUCUCGCAACUUAACGGGCUUGACCCUAGGUGUCUCGGUGUAGCUGUACUUAAAUUCAAACGGCGCCCCGUUGAUGACAUAAGAGAGACCAUCUUCGCUAAUUUUGAUGUUUGCAUUUCUGUCGAUUGGUAUCUCGUCAGUUUUCGGUUGUGGUUGUUCGGAAAUUCUCCAUUUUCCCCGAAAUGCCGGGUGGGAAUUCGAGGUUUCGGGUUUGGAAUAUUUGGACUUUUUGCCCCGGAUUGAGGGAUUUGAAGGAGAGGAAGGCGUGCCUAUCGAUUUGAAAGUCUCGGUACUCGCGCUCGCUGUGCCAGAAUCGUAAUUAUGAACGAUUUUAGUGGCGGAAUCAAAGCGGCGAUGCCGGCGGAGGUCGUCUUCGAUUUCUUUCUGGGCGCGUUGGCGUUCAUUGAAUUCCCUGGCGUUAGCGUUGUUCCACCGAGAGAAGCGGACCUCGGUAGGCGGCCGCUGGUGGUGCUGAGAUAGGUUCUGACUCGGAUUCGGAUUCAGCAGUGGUGCAAAGAUCGGGAAUGGGAUCGGAAAAAAUUUUAGAGCCAUAAUAAAAUGAAUUGGGCAUCCCAGAACGCAAAAUCCCAGCAAGCAGCCCCCCGCACUAUCAGAGUAAAAGAUAUAUUUUGGAGGGGGAAAGUUGA